GUGGGGAAUUUUGGACAAUGGGGGGAACCCUGAUCCAGCCAUGCCGCGUGUGUGAAGAAGGCCUUUUGGUUGUAAAGCACUUUAAGCGAGGAGGAGGCUACCGAGAUUAAUACUCUUGGAUAGUGGACGUUACUCGCAGAAUAAGCACCGGCUAACUCUGUGCCAGCAGCCGCGGUAAUACAGAGGGUGCAAGCGUUAAUCGGAUUUACUGGGCGUAAAGCGCGCGUAGGUGGCCAAUUAAGUCAAAUGUGAAAUCCCCGAGCUUAACUUGGGAAUUGCAUUCGAUACUGGUUGGCUAGAGUAUGGGAGAGGAUGGUAGAAUUCCAGGUGUAGCGGCGAAAUGCGUAGAGAUCUGGAGGAAUACCGAUGGCGAAGGCAGCCAUCUGGCCUAAUACUGACACUGAGGUGCGAAAGCAUGGGGAGCAAACAGGAUUAGAUACCCCGGUAGUCC
rnacentral:rRNA from 1 species